UGCCGGAUCGUCUAAAGGUAGGACAGGGGACUUUGAAUCCCCUAAUCUGGGUUCGAUUCCUAGUCCGGCAG
rfam:Microgenomates (Amesbacteria) bacterium GW2011_GWA2_42_12 TT93_C0015, whole genome shotgun sequence.